rnacentral:lncRNA from 1 species
CCAAACCCAAAUAUUACCGAAUGGGCCCAUUUUUGUCCCAAACGUAUAAGACAUUUUGGCAAUGCCAACCUUGCAAUUCUUUUUCUUUUUUUUAUUUGGGAAUGGGAAACAAGAAGAUAAAGAUUUGACGUUCCUCCAACUAUUUGAAGCCAACAAGGGAAAGAAUUGAAAUGGAUCAGAAUUAGAUCGGAAAAGAUUCCGACUAGAACUGACUAGAGGAUAUUAAUUUUUGAGCCCGACCAAGACUGAC